rnacentral:rRNA from 1 species
AAGGUGGGGAUAACGUAGCGAAAGUUACGCUAAUACCGCAUAUUCUGUGAGCAGGAAAGAGGGGGAUCGCAAGACCUCUUGCUUUAGGAGCGGCCGAUGUCGGAUUAGCUAGUUGGUGAGGUGAAGGCUCACCAAGGCGACGAUCCGUAGCGGGUCUGAGAGGAUGAUCCGCCACACUGGGACUGAGACACGGCCCAGACUCCUACGGGAGGCAGCAGUGGGGAAUUUUGGACAAUGGGCGCAAGCCUGAUCCAGCCAUGCCGCGUGAGUGAAGAAGGCCUUCGGGUUGUAAAGCUCUUUCGGUGGGGAAGAAAUUGCUUCGGUUAAUACCUGGAGUAGAUGACGGUACCCGCAUAAGAAGCACCGGCUAACUACGUG